UACGAAGGGGGGCUAGCGUUGUUCGGAAUUACUGGGCGUAAAGCGCACGUAGGCGGAUAUUUAAGUCAGGGGGUGAAAUCCCAGAGCUCAACUCUGGAACUGCCUUUGAUACUGGGUAUCUUGAGUAUGGAAGAGGUAAGUGGAAUUGCGAGUGUAGAGGUGAAAUUCGUAGAUAUUCGCGGGAACACCAGUGGCGAAGGCGGCUUACUGGUCCAUAACUGACGCUGAGGUGCGAAAGCGUGGGGAGCAAACAGG
rnacentral:rRNA from 1 species